rnacentral:rRNA from 1 species
UACGAAGGGGGCUAGCGUUGCUCGGAAUCACUGGGCGUAAAGGGUGCGUAGGCGGGUCUUUAAGUCAGGGGUGAAAUCCUGGAGCUCAACUCCAGAACUGCCCUUGAUACUGAGGAUCUUGAGUUCGGGAGAGGUGAGUGGAACUGCGAGUGUAGAGGUGAAAUUCGUAGAUAUUCGCAAGAACACCAGUGGCGAAGGCGGCUCACUGGUCCGGUACUGACGCUGAGGUGCGAAAGCGUGGGGAGCAAACAGG